rnacentral:rRNA from 1 species
GGUUAAGCGACUAAGCGUACACGGUGGAUGCCCUGGCAGUCAGAGGCGAUGAAGGGCGUGCUAAUCUGCGAUAAGCGCCGGUAAGGUGAUAUGAACCGUUAUAACCGGCGAUACCCGAAUGGGGAAACCCAGUGUGACUCGUCACACUAUCAUUAACUGAAUCCAUAGGUUAAUGAGGCGAACCGGGGGAACUGAAACAUCUAAGUACCCCGAGGAAAAGAAAUCAACCGAGAUUCCCCCAGUAGCGGCGAGCGAACGGGGAGGAGCCCAGAGCCUGAAUCAGCAUGUGUGUUAGUGGAAGCGUCUGGAAAGGCGCGCGAUACAGGGUGACAGCCCCGUACACAAAAGCGCAUGUGCUGUGAGCUCGAUGAGUAGGGCGGGACACGUGGUAUCCUGUCUGAAUAUGGGGGGACCAUCCUCCAAGGCUAAAUACUCCUGACUGACCGAUAGUGAACCAGUACCGUGAGGGAAAGGCGAAAAGAACCCCGGCGAGGGGAGUGAAAAAGAACCUGAAACCGUGUACGUACAAGCAGUGGGAGCACCCUUUUGGGGUGUGACUGCGUACCUUUUGUAUAAUGGGUCAGCGACUUAUAUUCUGUAGCAAGGUUAACCGAAUAGGGGAGCCGGAGGGAAACCGAGUCUUAACCGGGCGUUAAGUUGCAGGGUAUAGACCCGAAACCCGGUGAUCUAGCCAUGGGCAGGUUGAAGGUUGGGUAACACUAACUGGAGGACCGAACCGACUAAUGUUGAAAAAUUAGCGGAUGACCUGUGGCUGGGGGUGAAAGGCCAAUCAAACCGGGAGAUAGCUGGUUCUCCCCGAAAGCUAUUUAGGUAGCGCCUCGUGAAUUCAUCUCCGGGGGUAGAGCACUGUUUCGGCUAGGGGGCCAUCCCGGCUUACCAACCCGAUGCAAACUGCGAAUACCGGAGAAUGUUAUCACGGGAGACACACGGCGGGUGCUAACGUCCGUCGUGAAGAGGGAAACAACCCAGACCGCCAGCUAAGGUCCCAAAGUCAUGGUUAAGUGGGAAACGAUGUGGGAAGGCCCAGACAGCCAGGAUGUUGGCUUAGAAGCAGCCAUCAUUUAAAGAAAGCGUAAUAGCUCACUGGUCGAGUCGGCCUGCGCGGAAGAUGUAACGGGGCUAAACCAUGCACCGAAGCUGCGGCAGCGAC